CUCGCAGUUGGAACCACGCUUCUUCCUGCUGCCUGGCUUCGGUUACAUCGACGCAUCUAGUGUGUAUUCCCCACUUUCUCCUCAACUCGGGCAGUACUGUAUUCAUAUUAUCCUCGCCUUGGUGUACAUCCUGACAGAAGGUCGAUGCUGGUAACGCACGUAACUCGAGACUGCCCAACAUAUGGUUAACCACACUGCACCGCGUAUGCCAGUGUAGGCGGCGGUGAAACGAUGACGACGGCGACAACAACAACAACAACAACAAAAACAACAACAACAACAACAUCAUCAUCAAUCAUUGAAACAACUGGAUGCGUGUGUCUGUGUGCCUGACAUCACCACCUCAGUCGAUAUUCCAUCACCAUUUAUAUAUUUAUUUUAUUUAUUUAUUUUUUUUACUUUUAACAAUAUAUGGAAAAGUAAUACUUCACAUACAUCACAGGAUGCAUGAAUGAGCUCAUUUCCUGAUUCUGACAGGAAAAUAUCGUAUGAAGAAUUACAGAAUUUACAGCGAGCUUCAUUUAACAGCCACCAAAAAUUCUUCAUAAAUAGUUAAGCAAUGACAAUUUUGACCAAAGAAAUACAAAGGAAGUGUUUUUUUAUUAGUUUGGGUACGAAAAGUGCAGUCCUGAAAUCAAUGAGAGCUAUUUGGAGAUAAAUUGCCAAUAAAAGAAAACAUCUUUUCUGAACAUCUUCGUAAUACAGAGCAACGCAUUAUGAUUCUAUGAUCCUAUCAUAUCCUAGCAUUUGCAAAAUUCUGUCCUGAAGACAAAAGUGUGCUUGGACUUUUUAACGCGAAUCAUAAUUUAGUUUUAUUUCA